rnacentral:rRNA from 1 species
CCUACGGGUGGCAGCAGUCGAGAAUCAUUCACAAUGGGGGAAACCCUGAUGGUGCGACGCCGCGUGGGGGAAUGAAGGUCUUCGGAUUGUAAACCCCUGUCAUGUGGGAGCAAAUUAAAAAGAUAGUACCACAAGAGGAAGAGACGGUUAACUCUGUGCCAGCAGCCGCGGUAAUACAGAGGUCUCAAGCGUUGUUCGGAAUCACUGGGCGUAAAGCGUGCGUAGGCUGUUUCGUAAGUCGUGUGUGAAAGGGGCGGGCUCAACCCGCGGACGGCACAUGAUACUGCGAGACUAGAGUAAUGGAGGGGGAACCGGAAUUCUCGGUGUAGCAGUGAAAUGCGUAGAUAUCGAGAGGAACACUCGGGGCGAAGGCGGGUUCCUGGACAUUAACUGACGCUGAGGCACGAAGGCCAGGGGAGCGAAAGGGAUUAGAUACCCGUGUAGUC